GAGCUCGCUUCGGCAGCACAUACACGAAAAUUGGACUGAUGCGGAGAAGGUGAGCACGGCCUCUGCGCAGGGACGACGUGCAAAUUCAUGAAGCGUUCCACUCAAAA
ensembl:snRNA U6 U6 spliceosomal RNA